GGAAAGGCGCGCGAUACAGGGUGACAGCCCCGUACACAAAAAUGCACAUGCUGUGAGCUCGAUGAGUAGGGCGGGACACGUGGUAUCCUGUCUGAAUAUGGGGGGACCAUCCUCCAAGGCUAAAUACUCCUGACUGACCGAUAGUGAACCAGUACCGUGAGGGAAAGGCGAAAAGAACCCCGGCGAGGGGAGUGAAAAAGAACCUGAAACCGUGUACGUACAAGCAGUGGGAGCACGCUUAGGCGUGUGACUGCGUACCUUUUGUAUAAUGGGUCAGCGACUUAUAUUCUGUAGCAAGGUUAACCGAAUAGGGGAGCCGAAGGGAAACCGAGUCUUAACUGGGCGUUAAGUUGCAGGGUAUAGACCCGAAACCCGGUGAUCUAGCCAUGGGCAGGUUGAAGGUUGGGUAACACUAACUGGAGGACCGAACCGACUAAUGUUGAAAAAUUAGCGGAUGACUUGUGGCUGGGGGUGAAAGGCCAAUCAAACCGGGAGAUAGCUGGUUCUCCCCGAAAGCUAUUUAGGUAGCGCCUCGUGAAUUCAUCUCCGGGGGUAGAGCACUGUUUCGGCAAGGGGGUCAUCCCGACUUACCAACCCGAUGCAAACUGCGAAUACCGGAGAAUGUUAUCACGGGAGACACACGGCGGGUGCUAACGUCCGUCGUGAAGAGGGAAACAACCCAGACCGCCAGCUAAGGUCCCAAAGUCAUGGUUAAGUGGGAAACGAUGUGGGAAGGCCCAGACAGCCAGGAUGUUGGCUUAGAAGCAGCCAUCAUUUAAAGAAAGCGUAAUAGCUCACUGGUCGAGUCGGCCUGCGCGGAAGAUGUAACGGGGCUAAACCAUGCACCGAAGCUGCGGCAGCGACGCUGAUGCGUUGUUGGGUAGGGGAGCGUUCUGUAAGCCUGCGAAGGUGUGCUGUGAGGCAUGCUGGAGGUAUCAGAAGUGCGAAUGCUGACAUAAGUAACGAUAAAGCGGGUGAAAAGCCCGCUCGCCGGAAGACCAAGGGUUCCUGUCCA
rnacentral:rRNA from 1 species